CCUACGGGUGACAGCAGUAGGGAAUCUUUCACAAUGGGCGAAAGCCUGAUGGAGCAACGCCGCGUGCAGGAUGAAGGCCUUCGGGUUGGAAACUGCUUUUAUAAGCGAGAAAUAUGAUGGUAACUUAUGAAUAAUGAUCGGCUAACGACGUACAAGCAGCCGCGGUCAUACGUAGGAUCCGAGCAUUAUCCGGAGGGACUGGGGGUAAAAAGUUGUGUAGGUGGCGUAAUAAGUAGCUAGUGUAAUCUGGUGGCUCAACCAUUCAGACUAUUAGCUAAACUGUUAAGCUCGAGAGCGUUAGGGGUAACUGGAAUUCCUAGUGUAGGAGUGAAAUCCGUAGAUAUUA
rnacentral:rRNA from 1 species